GACAGAGGGUGCAAACGUUGCUCGGAAUUACUGGGCGUAAAGCGCGUGUAGGCGGACCACCAAGUCGGACGUGAAAGCCCUGAGCUCAACUCAGGAACUGCAUCCGAAACUGGCGGUCUGGAGUAGUGGAGAGGAAAGCAGAAUUCCUGGUGUAGAGGUGAAAUUCGUAGAUAUCAAGAGGAACACCUGAGGUGAAGACGGGUUGCUGGGCUGACACUGACGCUGAGGCGCGAAAGCCAGGGGAGCAAACGGG
rnacentral:rRNA from 1 species